AGCGAACGCUGGCGGCAGGCCUAACACAUGCAAGUCGAACGAUCCUUCGGGAUAGUGGCGGACGGGUGAGUAACACGUGGGAACGUACCUUUAGGUUCGGGAUAACUCAGGGAAACUUGAGCUAAUACCGGAUGUGCCCUUUUGGGGAAAGAUUUAUCGCCUUUAGAGCGGCCCGCGUUAGAUUAGCUAGUUGGUGAGGUAAAGGCUCACCAAGGCUCCGAUCUAUAGCUGGUCUGAGAGGAUGAUCAGCCACACUGGGACUGAGACACGGCCCAGACUCCUACGGGAGGCAGCAGUGGGGAAUCUUGCGCAAUGGGCGAAAGCCUGACGCAGCCAUGCCGCGUGAAUGAUGAAGGUCUUAGGAUUGUAAAAUUCUUUUAGCAGGGACGAUAAUGACGGUACCUGCAGAAAAAGCCCCGGCUAACUUCGUGCCAGCCGCCGCGGUAA
rnacentral:rRNA from 1 species